CACCAUCGCCUCAACAGGCCGCCUGCCUUGUCUGGAGUAAAGAAAGUGAUAGUUACUGUACAUAAUGCUGAGGACACUGUGAUUGAUGUGUCCAUUGAUUUUUUUGUGAGUGUGGGCUGUGUGUGACAGAAUGUAAGACUGAAUGUAAAGAUGGACGACACGUCUCCACUUCCUCCCACUAUGCAGAAAUGGAUCGAGGUCCCAUUGAUACAGGCACGCGACCAAGUGCGAGUUGGUCACAGGUGUCAAUCAUGAUGUUUCAUCUCUUUUUUACAGCAUCAAAUAACUCACCUGAAUAGAAUAGAUAGAACAUACAUGACUGUGAUAAGAAUUACCUAAAAUAACAGAAACCAUCUAUGACCUUUUAAUUUGGUCCAUGUCCUAUACUGCAGCCAGCCACCAGAUGGCGAACAAGAGGCUUUGGCUUCACUUUUGGGGAGCGGUCAUGACAUCAAUCUUUAUAUACAGUCCAUGGUGUGAAAGGUGACAGAGGGACUAAUUAGCUGUCUGUUGGAUGGUUGUACAAACAAACUGGCCCACAAACUGUUUUGGAAUGUCCUGCUAUCGUUGCUGUGGUUUCCUGUGAACUCCCUGCGACAGUCGACGUGGGGCAGACAGCGUGACUCGCUGAGCCCUCGCUCUGAGCCCUCUGGUAUGAACCUCUGUGGAGUACGGUCAUCCGUGUUGUUAGAACGCAGGAAUGUGAACAUUGCAGAGCGCUCGGUCUAACCCAAUGUUUAUUUUACCAGACUGUGAAGGUUUUAAUAUGAAUCUUGCCUCUGCAUCCAGCUGUGUGACAUAGCUGCGUUAUGAAAAGGAUUUGGUUGCAUUUUGAGGCCAGCUUUUUUUACAAACCCCCAUUCUAGGGUAAAGAAAAUAUAAUGCUAUAUUUAUAUUCAAUUUCUGCCAAUAGAUCACUUUCACCUAAAUCUUACACACUGGAGCUCUAAUUAAUUGUUUUGGCCACUGAAAUUAUCAUUACCAUUUAAGUUGAUAUUGUGAACGUGGCAGUUAUUAAUAAAGCCCCUGUAAUGAUCAACAUUAAUUCCAGACGUUAACAUCGUCUCACAGCAUCACUACUAAACUGAGGGUCAGAUUUUAAAGUGAUUUUCAGAUUCAGUCUGCAUACAUUUUUAUUUCCAGACUCAUAUGAGUUCACCACUGACCACUGACAUGUAAGCAGUUCAUCUUUGAGUCCAAAUGACCAGAAUAACUGGUCAAGCAUUUGAAGUUCUAGUCAGUUCAUCGAUGUGUCCAAGUGAACAAGUGUAUAUGAAAGGACUCCAUGGAGGUGUCCCGGAGAUAUCCAGUUCACAAGGGAAAGAAAUCACUCUGUGAGCUCAAAGUGACCUUGACCUUUGACCUUUGAGCUUUUACCACCAAAAUCUAAAUAGUUUAUCUUUGAGUCAAACUGAAUAUUGGUACCAAAUUUGUAGACAUUCCCUCAAGGCAUUCUUAAGAUAUAAUGUUAACAAGAAUAAGAUGGAAAGACGGACAAAUUAUAAACACAAUUCGUC